rnacentral:rRNA from 1 species
GACGAACGCUGGCGGCGUGCCUAAUACAUGCAAGUAGAACGCUGAAGGAGGAGCUUGCUUCUCUGGAUGAGUUGCGAACGGGUGAGUAACGCGUAGGUAACCUGCCUGGUAGCGGGGGAUAACUAUUGGAAACGAUAGCUAAUACCGCAUAAGAGUAGAUGUUGCAUGACAUUUGCUUAAAAGGUGCAAUUGCAUCACUACCAGAUGGACCUGCGUUGUAUUAGCUAGUUGGUGGGGUAACGGCUCACCAAGGCGACGAUACAUAGCCGACCUGAGAGGGGGAGCGGCCACACUGGGACUGUGACAAGGCCCAGACGCCUACGGGAGGCAGCAGGAGGGAAUCUUCGGCAAUGGACGGAAGUCUGACCGAGAAACGCCGCGGGAGGGAAGAAGGUUUUCGGAUCGGAAAGCUCUGUUGUAAGAGAAGAACGAGUGUGAGAGUGGAAAGUUCACACUGUGACGGUAUCUUACCAGAAAGGGACGGCUAACUACGUG